rnacentral:rRNA from 1 species
GAUGAACGCUAGCUACAGGCUUAACACAUGCAAGUCGAGGGGAAACGAUGAGAGAGCUUGCUCUCUUAGGCGUCGACCGGCGCACGGGUGAGUAACGCGUAUCCAACCUACCCAUUACAGGGGGAUAACCUUGCGAAAGUAAGACUAAUACCCCAUGGCAUUUUAUGGUGGCAUCAUUAUAGGAUUAAAGAUUUAUUGUUAAUGGAUGGGGAUGCGUCUGAUUAGCUUGUUGGCGGGGUAACGGCCCACCAAGGCAACGAUCAGUAGGGGUUCUGAGAGGAAGGUACCCCACAUUGGAACUGAGACACGGUCCAAACUCCUACGGGAGGCAGCAGUGAGGAAUACUGGUCAAUGGGCGAGAGCUUGACCCAGCCAAGUAGCGUGCAGGAUGACGGCCCUAUGGGUUGUAAACUGCUUUUAUAGGGGAAUAAAGUGAGCUACGUGUAGUUUAUUGCAUGUACCCUAUGAAUAAGGACCGGCUAAUUCCGUG